UGGGUCCACAUGGCAGACUGAGCGCAGAACUGGUAAACCGCGCUGUAUAAAUGUGGCGUCUUGGGGGCCAGUCAGUGAGUACGCGAGGUCAGAACAGACUGUAAUCCCGGUCACAGAGCAAGCAAGGCAACUCACAACGGCUGAACAACCAUGAAGUGGGGAAUCGUUGUCUUAAUCAGCUGCAUUUUGUUGCUCUCUCUACCGUGUUACGCAAAACCCCGAGUCAACUGUUCAGAGCCAAAAGAAGUAGGACCGUGCAAAGCCGCUUUCCCUCGUUAUUACUACGAUGUGCACGCUCAGAAAUGCACUAUGUUUAUUUAUGGUGGCUGUGGUGCCAAUGGAAACAGCUUUGUGAAUCUAAAUGACUGCAUUGCAUCAUGUGAAGGAAACCAUAAUUAAAGGGGCAUUUCUGCUAUAUAAAUGGCACCGUUGGGACAGAGAAAUCGAUAUCAUUUGUGGCCAGAGCUAAAGAAUGGAGAAGUGAGCAUCAAAGGGGAAAAACUUCACAAUAUCAAUAUUAUUAUUUUAAAUAAUUUUACUCUUGAAAUUCUGCAUGUUAAUCCACACAUACCUUUAAUUGGAUGCACUUAAUAAAGAAAUGUGAAACUGUGAUUUUUGUCAUUUUAGAAUAAGUUAAAUCAGAUAAUUAUUAUUAAACUCUACCAUGGUGGAGAAUAUUCCAUUUUUUGGUCCUUGCAGUUCUAUUUACAAAUGGUGUAUUGCUAAAAUUAUAAUAAAAUAAAGGAAU